AACAAAAACAAAAAUACGUCACCGUCGGUGUUCUUCCGAGCAACGUCGAUUUCCGUGGUUUAAAGAAUCCUCAAUUUAACAAAAAGUUCGACGCGUGUGAACAUAAUACCAUGGAGGAAAUACAAUUUUGGAACAUAGUCCGGCCAGAAAUUGCUACCGAGUAUUUGGGACUAACUCUCGAAGUACAGGAGGCACAGCGCGCCGAAUGGAGCCCAGGUAGAAGAGGAAAUCACCUCCCGGACUGUGUUGCAGUCCAAGAUUCGGCAUUCAAGUGCACUUUCUCAUGAGAAACGUUAGUUGGAAGGAAGGGAGGAAGGAAAUAACUGACUACGUUGGCCAGAACAACGGGAAUGUCGAGGAAAGCAACGUUCAUCAGUGUCUAGACCAAUAUUUUAAAACAGAAACAGCCAUCACGACAACGGCUGGCAAGGCCAUAUCCGUCCUCGGUGAACCACUGACUCAAAAGAAAUCCGAGAUGAAACAAUCGUUCGUUCCGUUCGUUCGAAGAGCGGGUUGGAUCGGCCAACGCAAAUAUUUGGUCGAAAGUAUCCUCGCGAUCGACUUCAGUGCAGAGUUGCAGUCCAUUAGAUAGAGUAGGAAAGAAGCCAAUUUAUUUGUCUCAUUUUGAAGUAGGUAUGAUAUAAAAAUACUGAAUGUGUCUAAUUGUAGUUUCUCCAUAGUGGAACUCGUGAAUAGCUUUGAUUUAUGGUGAACUUAAACCUCUUCCUCGCACACAUAUGCACACUGUAGAAUGUAUCUAAUUAUAAUAUAGGCACACUUCUGCCAAAUGCAACCGCGAUUAAA